rnacentral:lncRNA from 1 species
AUGCUCAGGCAGGAAAAAGCCCCGGUGUCAAUUUCGGGCAGUGGCAGGUUCCAGCCCGGGGCAGGAGGGGAAGGAAGGGANNNAGCGGCCUCCGUGACUCCCACUCCACACCCGUCCCCAGGCCUUGGGCUCAGCCGUCCUUGCUCUCGGCCCCUCCUGCUCCCAAGACUCCGGGGGUCCCAGGGCCGAGUGGGGACCCCGCUCCCUGCACCAAGCCCCCUGCCCCUUCUCUCCUGCCAGGUUGUCUCGGAGAAGAGCUGAGGAGAACAACACAUCUGUCCCUCAGUCUAACCCAGGGACAGGGUCGUAAGGACGGCCGAGAGUCCUCUCU